rnacentral:rRNA from 1 species
CUACGGGAUGCAGCAGUGAGGAAUUUUGCGCAAUGGGGGGAACCCUGACGCAGCAACGCCGCGUGAGUGAUGAAGGCUUUCGGGUCGUAAAGCUCUGUCAAGUGGGAAGAACCUAUGCAGUGUUAAUAUCACUGUAUACUGACGGUACCACUGAAGGAAGCACCGGCUAACUCCGUGCCAGCAGCCGCGGUAAUACGGGGGGUGCAAGCGUUAUUCGGAAUCAUUGGGCGUAAAGGGCACGUAGGCGGCUUGGUAAGUCAGAUGUGAAAGCCCGGGGCUUAACCCCGGAAGUGCAUUUGGUACUGUCAGGCUUGAGUAUGGGAGAGGGAAGUGGAAUUCCUGGUGUAGAGGUGAAAUUCGUAGAUAUCAGGAGGAACACCGGUGGCGAAGGCGACUUCCUGGACCAAUACUGACGCUGAGGUGCGAAGGCGUGGGUAGCAAACAGGAUUAGAUACCCCGGUAGUC